rnacentral:misc_RNA from 1 species
GAUUUUUUUUAAUUAGGAUAAUUUAAUAUGCAAAACUUGGCUAUAUAGGCUCUAAAAAAAGGCUAUAUAUAGAAAGAAUUAUGGUAUAACGCAAUGUGAUAUGUUAUGGUACAAUGUGAAAUGUUAUAAAGCAACUAGUGAGAAGCUUCAUUUCACACAAAGAGUUUCAGAAAAAUAACACUCUCAGUCUCUUCUUCUAUAUCAUUUUCUCUCUCUAUAUCUUGUUCUUAUUUCUAUUCUAUUUUUUAUUUUAAGCCCUUUUCAAUAUAUUAAGGUUGUUGGGUGAAAUUUUGAUGCAAUGGAUGUCAAAUUGAAAUCAUCCGAUCCCAUUGACAAAUUGAGUUUUUACUCAGAAAGGACUCAGAACUUGCACUGAAAACUCUGCUGCAAUGGAACUUGGACGUCUUUUUCUUUCUUUUUUUUUUUU